GAUGAAGAACGUAGCGAAAUGCGAUACGUAAUGUGAAUUGCAGAAUUCAGUGAAUCAUCGAGUCUUUGAACGCACAUUGCGCCCUCUGGUAUUCCGGAGGUCAUGCCUGUCCGAGCGUCAUUGCUGCCCUCAAGCACGGCUUGUGUGUUGGGCCCCGCCCCCCGAUCCCGGGGGGCGGGCCCGAAAGGCAGCGGCGGCACCGCGUCCGGUCCUCGAGCGUAUGGGGCUUUGUCACCCGCUCUGUAGGCCCGGCCGGCGCCUGCCGAUCAACCAAACUUUUUUCCAGGUUGACCUCGGAUCAGGUAGGGAUACCCGCUGAACUUAAGCAUAUCAAUAAGCGGAGGA
rnacentral:misc_RNA from 1 species